GUAGGUCCCAGCAGGGAGGACGAUAGGGACAAAACUGGAACUAGUUGACUUUCAUUGGCUCUAUCUCUGCCAGUCUUUUGCCCUACCUGCUGGACUCACUGCCUUCCAACCUACCAGUCCUAAUAGGCACCAGCCUCCAGUAUUCUCUUCCAGAUAUGGGUGAGUUCUGUACUUUAGUCCAUAAACACAGGGAGGGGACUAUUAUGAGUGAUAAUAAUUUAUCAUAGACAGGGACAGACCUUUGACACCUUCCCCCAGACCCUCGUGGAUUGAGUGGGGUGAACAAGACAAAGGGCUUUGGGAAGGAAGUAUGAGGCUCUGGCAGGUCCUAGAGCCCUCCCACCUCCUUCUCAAAGCCUGGUGAGUGUUUGUGCUUGACUUUGGGAAUGAGGCAGGAGGACUUGAGAAGCCUGUCAGAGCCCCAAUAACUCCUUCCCAAAGCCAAACAAGAGUUUGCUGGGCUUUGAGAAGGCGCCCUCCUCUGCUGCCAGCCCACUGCCUGCACCACUCAUACUGCCCUAAAUUUGCCUCUGCCAUAAAUAGGAAUAUAGAGAUCUGCCUUAUACCACGUCAAUCCAACUAGCAAUGUAUUGUCUGCUCUGUCUGAAAGUGGCUUUCCAGAAUUCAAGACAACGAGCAUUCCCAGACCAACCUAAAAUUGCACUAGGACCUUAGGCAUACGAAGCAGAAGCUCUACCACUGGGCUAUGAUCCUUCCCCAAUUGAUUAAAAAAUAAUUUAAAAAGGAGAAAAGAGAAAAUAUAUAUUCCAUCAAAUCCACUCUGUUCUAUGAUAUGUUCAAUAAUGAGACAUGUAGGCAACCAAAUGUUACCACUGUACAAAUCACCUUAACUGAUUCAACAGACAUAUGCAUUGGUAUGCCUUAAUACAGGCAUAGGCAAACUCAGCCCUCCAGAUGUUUUUGGCCUACAACUCCCAUGAUCCCUAGCUAACAGGACCAGUGGUCAGGGAUGAUGGGAAUUGUAGUCCCAAAACAUCUGGAUGGCCAAGUUUGCCAGUGCCUGCCUUAAUAUAUAUCUAAACUGUUUGCCUGUGUUAUCAUCAAUCUGGUAAAACUCUCCUUUCCAUUCCCGUCAGAAAAUCCCUUGUAUCAAGUAUGCUGAAUGUCCAUUGUGGGUUUCAUUUCAUUAUUUGGCUGUUUAUAUACCUGCAGCACAAAUAAUGUUCAGCUACCUGGGGUCAUUUUCAUUCAUAGAUACUCUGCAGACCUGUCACUUAUAAAACACCUGGGGUCUGUGUACACUGAAGCAUAAACGGUUCAUUAUAACUUCACUCAUUUUUCACUUAUUAAAGUCAAUAAAAGGCUAUAUGUGAAAUUCUACCCUAGGACUUGGUCUUGAUAUUUUCUACAAUAAAAAAGUGCUUUCACUAACAGUGAGGUUGCCAACAUUCGUAAUUGCUUGAUCUGGAACACAGAUUUGACCAGCUAAUAAUGAUUGGCAGCAUUCUGAAUCAAAUGCCAUCCCCCUGCCACAGAAAAAGUUGCUUUUCCAGCUUGGAAUGUAAAACCAAAUAUUCGGCAAGCCAAGAAUGCCCAAAGCCAACUGUUUUGUAGUUGCAUACAUGGAAGUUCAUUAAUAUGAAUCCCCUGUUCUUAAUAAAACUCUCAAUGCUUGCUGUGGAUUACAUAACCAGACUAACUUGACUAUUGCAACCUUUUGUUUCAUGAGUAUCAAAUUGCCCCUCAGGUUACCCAACACUCACACAUUUUUUCCUAGCUUUUAAAGUUAUUAUAACACUUUCCUUAUCAUGUAAGUGCUGAUGCAAAAUGCCCCAUGUGGGCAGCUCUAACAUUGUACCAAGCCGAUUUGUCAAUAAGCCUUGGGCACAUAGCAGUUGAAGCAUUGCAGCUACCAUCCCUGCUACCCUGUCGGAGCAGCUGGUGUAGUAUGUCACCUGAAGCUACAUAAGGCCUAUUACUAG